GGAACUGUGUGGUGUAGUGGUUUGAGCAUUAGGCUAGGAAUCUGAAGGCCAGGGUUCAAAUCCCUGCUUGGCCA